CUCUUUAAGGAUUGGUGAUGGAGGUGUGACAGCCAGAAUCAGAGGGAUUGAUAAGCAAUAAAUAUGUGCUUCUUGGAGGCAUUUGGUAUUUUGCCUAACAGGCAAUAUUAGCUAA